ensembl:lncRNA
GCGGGCUGGCUGGAGCGCACGGAUCAGCCGAGCUGUAGCUCCUACUGCCAAAACACUUUCUUGGCCGCUGAUUUCUCCCCCGUAUUUUUUUUUUCUUUACGUGGCCUGAUAGGAGCUAUUUAAAUCAGCCACGCAGCGAACCAGACGUGUCUCCCCACACUGCGCUCCGCUCUCUUCCUGCGCCUGAAGUGACCGGAGAGGCGCAAACUCUUGACCAAGCGAUGUCCGUCUUUUUUUGGCACUGGAUGGAAUGAAAUAAAGUACUUUUUUGUCUUUACAGGCAAAUCCGCAGAGUGGAACGCGUGCCCUCACGGCGGUGAAAAUAAUGGAUAAAAGAUUCUUGUAGAGGGAAUGGAAGAACAAGGGAGGGUAACAAGGGUUGGCGGAGUGAUUUGCAAGAUCAUUCAUUGAUCCGGUGCAUUUGACUUCAGCCGGAACUAGCAGUCUUCCAGGGUAUGAGACCAUAUGCACACAAGCUCACACACUUAGGUGCAACGAAACACACUCAUCUUAACACGUUACUCGUUGCUAAGUAGAUGUUUCAGUCGCCUGUGCAUGCCCUCCCUCGCUACCCUGCUUUGACGUCACCCAUCAGUUAGUCACACACACACACACUCCACAUCACCCAUCAGUUCACCCGACAGACACCUAAAUGUACAUCUUCACACUCAUGUAGAGCCCAACAUUUUUACAUCACACAUCAGAUUACCCCAGAUUCACACACACACACACACACACACACACACACACACACACACACACACACACACACACACACACACACACACACUCACACACUCACAAAUCAUCACACAUCAGUUAUGUCUUUGGAGUGGGAGGGGUUGACAGGGGAGAGGAAGAAGUACACAGGAAGUACAUUAGUUAUCACUCCCCUGUCUUCUCCACCUUUUCACUUCUUAUCACCACCUGACGUCUCAGACCCUGGCCGAGCCACUUCUCCUUCCCAUCCCACCCCUUUCCUUUUCUCUUUCUGUCUCUCUCUUGCUCACACACACACGCCUUUAAAAAUGACUUCCGUGCUCCACUUUAAUGUCGGGCCCUUGGAUCUAGAUGACACUUGGCAAGCCGCAGGAGCCGCAAGACAACUGGAUGAAAUAUUUAAAUGAAAUAUGGCAGGGGUAUAAGAGGUGAAGAAAGGAAGGGGAAUAAACGAUGGAGAGAAAAGAAUACAAGACAUAGGAAGAGGGAAGAGAGAGUGACAAUAUUCAGAUGGUGAGCAGAAUGUGAGGAAUUUCUUUUCUUGGCUAAGAGAGGGCCGGUUGACAAGAGGUGCAGAUGAAUUGGCUUUCACCUAAAUGUAGCCUGGAGAGAUAUAUACCAAUAUAGAAUGAGAUCACAUCACUUCGUCUUGGAAUAAUCAGCAAGUCUCAGGAUGUGUCAAAGCGGUGUCAGCACUGUGCCAGCUCAGCUGCUUAAAUGAAAUGAAACAGGGAUUUUGUGACUUUAGAAUGUAGUUCUGUCUUGCUUUUUUAUCAAUAAGCCUAGAAGUCUAUACAGAGCCAUACUGUGAGACGACACUAAAUGCUAACAUGGCUAUAUGCUCAAUGACAGCGCUGAUGUUUAGCAGGCAUUAGCUUACUGUGUUAAUACAAAAGAUUCACCAGCAUGAAUGGAAUCAUUGUGUGAUUGUUUGAAAGCACAAUGUCUCAACUUGUAAAACAUUUUAUUAUACCAAAACCACAACAACAAUAGAGGACGCAGCAGUAAUAGUUCCCCCCUUGUAAAGAGUGCGUACACACCAAAAGAGUCAUUCUUUUUUGGUUGUCUUUUUUUUUUUUUUU